AUUGAAAGCUGGCGGCAGGCUUAACACAUGCAAGUCGAACGAGUGGCGGACGGGUGAGUAAUGCUUGGGAAUCUAGCUUAUGGAGGGGGAUAACUACGGGAAACUGUAGCUAAUACCGCGUACCAUAGGAUGAGCCCAAGUGGGAUUAGGUAGUUGGUGGGGUAAAGGCUCACCAAGCCGACGAUCGCUAGCUGGUCUGAGAGGAGGACCAGCCACACUGGGACUGAGACACGGCCCAGACUCCUACGGUAGGCAGCAGUGGGGAAUAUUGCGCAAUGGGGGCAACCUGACCCAGCCAUGCCGCGUGAAUGAAGAAGGCCUUCGGUUUUUAAAGUUCUGUCGGUAGCGAUGCGUUAGCUACAGAAGAAGCACCGGCUAACUCCUUUCCAGCAGCCGUGGUAAUAC
rnacentral:rRNA from 1 species